ACAAAAGUGCAUGUGUUGUGAACUCGAAGAGUAGGGCGGGACACGUGGUAUCCUGUCUGAAUAUGGGGGGACCAUCCUCCAAGGCUAAAUACUCCUGACUGACCGAUAGUGAACCAGUACCGUGAGGGAAAGGCGAAAAGAACCCCGGCGAGGGGAGUGAAAAAGAACCUGAAACCGUGUACGUACAAGCAGUGGGAGCACCCUUUGGGGUGUGACUGCGUACCUUUUGUAUAAUGGGUCAGCGACUUAUAUUCUGUAGCAAGGUUAACCGAAUAGGGGAGCCGAAGGGAAACCGAGUCUUAACUGGGCGUUAAGUUGCAGGGUAUAGACCCGAAACCCGGUGAUCUAGCCAUGGGCAGGUUGAAGGUUGGGUAACACUAACUGGAGGACCGAACCGACUAAUGUUGAAAAAUUAGCGGAUGACUUGUGGCUG
rnacentral:rRNA from 1 species